AAAACGACUCUCGGCAACGGAUAUCUAGGCUCUCGCAUCGAUGAAGAACGUAGCGAAAUGCGAUACUUGGUGUGAAUUGCAGAAUCCCACGAAUCAUCGAGUUUUGAACGCAAGUUGCGCCCGAAGCCAUUCGGCUGAGGGCACGUCUGCCUAGGUGUCACGC
rnacentral:rRNA from 1 species